CCUACGGGAGGCAGCAGUGGGGAAUAUUGGGCAAUGGGCGCAAGCCUGACCCAGCAACGCCGCGUGAAGGAAGAAGGCCCUCGGGUUGUAAACUUCUUUUAUUCGGGACGAAACAAAUGACGGUACCGAAUGAAUAAGCCACGGCUAACUACGUGCCAGCAGCCGCGGUAAUACGUAGGUGGCAAGCGUUAUCCGGAUUUACUGGGUGUAAAGGGCGUGUAGGCGGGAGAGCAAGUCAGACGUGAAAUUCCAGGGCUCAACCCUGGAACUGCGUUUGAAACUGUUCUUCUUGAGUGAUGGAGAGGCAGGCGGAAUUCCGUGUGUAGCGGUGAAAUGCGUAGAUAUACGGAGGAACACCAGUGGCGAAGGCGGCCUGCUGGACAUUAACUGACGCUGAGGCGCGAAAGCGUGGGGAGCAAACAGGAUUAGAUACCCCAGUAGUC
rnacentral:rRNA from 1 species